CGUGUAGGCGGCCAGACAGGUCUGCUGUGAAACUCGAGGCUCAACCUCGAGAUGUCGGCGGAAACCGUCUGGCUAGAGUCCGGAAGAGGAGAGUGGAAUUCCUGGUGUAGCGGUGAAAUGCGCAGAUAUCAGGAAGAACACCUAUGGCGAAGGCAGCUCUCUGGGACGGUACUGACGCUGAGACGCGAAAGCGUGGGGAGCGAACAGGAUUAGAUACCCUGGUAGUCCACGCCGUAAACGAUGGGUGCUAGGUGUGGGCGGUGUCGACUCCGUCCGUGCCGAAGCUAACGCAUUAAGCACCCCGCCUGGGAGUACGGCCGCAAGGCUAA
rnacentral:rRNA from 1 species